GAUGAACGCUGGCGGCGUGCCUAAUACAUGCAAGUCGAGCGAACAGACGAGGAGCUUGCUCCUCUGACGUUAGCGGCGGACGGGUGAGUAACACGUGGAUAACCUACCUAUAAGACUGGGAUAACUUCGGGAAACCGGAGCUAAUACCGGAUAAUAUUUUGAACCGCAUGGUUCAAUAGUGAAAGACGGUUUUGCUGUCACUUAUAGAUGGAUCCGCGCCGCAUUAGCUAGUUGGUAAGGUAACGGCUUACCAAGGCGACGAUGCGUAGCCGACCUGAGAGGGUGAUCGGCCACACUGGAACUGAGACACGGUCCAGACUCCUACGGGAGGCAGCAGUAGGGAAUCUUCCGCAAUGGGCGAAAGCCUGACGGAGCAACGCCGCGUGAGUGAUGAAGGCCUUCGGAUCGUAAAACUCUGUUAUUAGGGAAGAACAAAUGUGUAAGUAACUGUGCACGUCUUGACGGUACCUAAUCAGAAAGCCACGGCUAACUACGUG
rnacentral:rRNA from 1 species